rnacentral:rRNA from 1 species
GAUGAACGCUGGCGGCGUGCUUAACACAUGCAAGUCGAACGAAGCACUUGAAACAGAUUCUUCGGAUGAAGUUUCCUGUGACUGAGUGGCGGACGGGUGAGUAACGCGUGGGUAACCUGCCUCAUACAGGGGGAUAACAGUUAGAAAUGGCUGCUAAUACCGCAUAAGCGCACGGCAUCGCAUGAUGCAGUGUGAAAAACUCCGGUGGUAUGAGAUGGACCCGCGUUGGAUUAGCUAGUUGGCAGGGUAACGGCCUACCAAGGCGACGAUCCAUAGCCGGCCUGAGAGGGUGGACGGCCACAUUGGGACUGAGACACGGCCCAGACUCCUACGGGAGGCAGCAGUGGGGAAUAUUGCACAAUGGGGGAAACCCUGAUGCAGCGACGCCGCGUGAGCGAAGAAGUAUUUCGGUAUGUAAAGCUCUAUCAGCAGGGAAGAAAAUGACGGUACCUGACUAAGAAGCCCCGGCUAACUACGUGCCAGCCGCCGCGGUAA